GAUGAACGCUGGCGGCGUGCCUAAUACAUGCAAGUCGAACGCUGAAGGAAGGAGCUUGCUCUUUCCGGAUGAGUUGCGAACGGGUGAGUAACGCGUAGGUAACCUGCCUGGUAGCGGGGGAUAACUAUUGGAAACGAUAGCUAAUACCGCAUAACAGUAGAUGUUGCAUGAUAUCUACUUAAAAGGUGCAAUUGCACCACUACCAGAUGGACCUGCGUUGUAUUAGCUAGUUGGUGAGGUAACGGCUCACCAAGGCGACGAUACAUAGCCGACCUGAGAGGGUGAUCGGCCACACUGGGACUGAGACACGGCCCAGACUCCUACGGGAGGCAGCAGUAGGGAAUCUUCGGCAAUGGACGGAAGUCUGGCCGAGCAACGCCGCGUGAGUGAAGAAGGUUUUCGGAUCGUAAAGCUCUGUUGUAAGAGAAGAACGAGUGUGAGAGUGGAAAGUUCACACUGUGACGGUAUCUUACCAGAAAGGGACGGCUAACUACGUG
rnacentral:rRNA from 1 species